AAGCGACUCGUUACAUCGGGCUUGACUCGGGUGACUCGGCUUUGACUUUCUUGACUCAGUAGAUCAACUCGAUCGACUUGGGUUUUUUUUCUUUUGCUUUUUAAUUUACAUUUUUUUGGCUCGUCCAUUUGGGCCCGACUCAAAUGACUUAGUAGACUCGCCCGACUUGAGCCUAUUUAUUUAUUUUUUGUUUGUGUAUACAUUUUUUGGGCUCGAUCAUCAUUGACUCAAGCUGACUCGAUGCUUAUGGAAUCUUAAUGUUGUUACACGCCUUUACUUGUGUGAAUGAAUGACUUUAAGAUCUCACAGAUAAGGGGCAGUCAGGGGCAUUCAUACUUUAUAGUCAGAGGUGAAAUUCUUCAUUGAAUUUAUGAGAGAUGAACCAUUGUAAAAGCAUUUGCCAAUUAUAUAUGAUGUUUUCAUAAAUCAAUAACCAAAGUUGGAGGCUCGAAGACAAUCAUAUACCGUCCUAGUCUCAACCAUAAAACAAUACCGACUAGGAAAUCAACGAAUGUUACUUUUAGGACUCUGCCGACACCUUAAAUGCGGAGGAUU
rnacentral:ncRNA from 1 species